rnacentral:rRNA from 1 species
GAUGAACGCUGGCGGCGUGCCUAAUACGUGCAAGUCGAGCGAACAGACGAGGAGCUUGCUCCUCUGACGUUAGCGGCGGACGUGUGAGUAACACGUGGAUAACCUACCUAUAAGACUGGGAUAACUUCGGGAAACCGGAGCUAAUACCGGAUAAUAUAUUGAACCGCAUGGUUCAAUAGUGAAAGACGGUUUUGCUGUCACUUAUAGAUGGAUCCGCGCCGCAUUAGCUAGUUGGUAAGGUAACGGCUUACCAAGGCAACGAUGCGUAGCCGACCUGAGAGGGUGAUAGGCCGCACUGGAACUGAGACACGGUCCAGACUACUACGGGAGGCCGCAGUCGGGAAUCUUACGCAGUGGGCGAAAGCCUGACGGAGUAACGGCGAGCGAGUGAUGACGGUGUUCGGAUCGUAAAACUCUGUUAUUAGGGAAGAACAAAUGUGUAAGUAACUAUGCACGUCUUGACGGUACCUAAUAAGAAAGCAACGGCUAACUACGUG